GCCAAGGUAGUCAGACUCCUCCCCAGGAAAUGACAUCAUUACUUUAUAAUGAAAGAUUCAUGUUCUAUAAUAGCAUUAAAACAGCUGCAAUAAAGAGUGCUGAACUUCAACAAAUCAACAUGUUUAUAGCUAUAUAUGCUGUUCUCUUCUCUUCAGCCAUAGAAGCUGUUCUGGGAGUGACACUGGAACAAAAAGAUCUCUCCCUGACAAAAGGAGAGGGUAAAACUGUGUUUAUCAGCUGCAAAGUGACCGGAUUAGACAGUGACAACUAUGUCCACUGGUACCAAAAGAAAGACGGUGAAGCUCUCACUAGGAUCCUGUAUGUCAAAAGUGGAGGCUCACUGAUUCCUGAUGCUAACUUUAAGGAAGCAAAGGACUUCAGUUUGAGGAUACAGGCUGACAAUUAUGAUCUGAAAAUAGCAAACCUGAAGAAAAGUCACUCUGCAGUUUAUUACUGCGCCAGCUGGGACAGCUCCCACAGUGACAGUAAACAUUCAGAGUGUGUACAAAAACCCUGAUGAUACA